AAUCUUGCGCAAUGGGCGAAAGCCUGACGCAGCCAUUCCGCGUGAAUGAUGAAGGNCUNNGGAUUNUNAAAUUCUUUCACCGGNNNNNAUAAUGACGGUCCCCGGAGAAGAAGACCCGGCUAACUUCGUGACAGCAGCCGCGGUAGUACGAAGGGGGCUAGCGUUGCUCGGAAUUACGGGGCGUAAAGGGCGCGUCGGCGGAACGUUAAGUCAUGGGUGAAAUCCCGGGGCUCAACCUCGGAACUUCCCUUGAUACUGGCGAUCUUGAGUAUGAGAGAGGGAUGUGGAACUCCAAGUGUAGAGGUGAAAUUCGUAGAUAUUCGGAAGGACACCAGGGGCGAAGGCGACAUACUGGCUCAUUACUGACGCUGAGGCGCGAAAGCGUGGGGAGCAAACA
rnacentral:rRNA from 1 species